CAAGCUGUGGGAGGUCUGUUUUACCUGUGUGAGUGAGUACUUUUUGUAUAUUGGGUCAGGGACUUAUAUUCUGUAGCAAGGUUAACCGAAUAGGGGAGCCGGAGGGAAACCGAGUCUUAAUUGGGCGUUAAGUUGCAGGGUAUAGACCCGAAACCCGGUGAUCUAGCCAUGGGCAGGUUGAAGGUUGGGUAACACUAACUGGAGGACCGAACCGACUAAUGUUGAAAAAUUAGCGGAUGACCUGUGGCUGGGGGUGAAAGGCCAAUCAAACCGGGAGAUAGCUGGUUCUCCCCGAAAGCUAUUUAGGUAGCGCCUCGUGAAUUCAUCUCCGGGGGUAGAGCACUGUUUCGGCUAGGGGGCCAUCCCGGCUUACCAACCCGAUGCAAACUGCGAAUACCGGAGAAUGUUAUCACGGGAGACACACGGCGGGUGCUAACGUCCGUCGUGAAGAGGGAAACAACCCAGACCGCCAGCUAAGGUCCCAAAGUCAUGGUUAAGUGGGAAACGAUGUGGGAAGGCCCAGACAGCCAGGAUGUUGGCUUAGAAGCAGCCAUCAUUUAAAGAAAGCGUAAUAGCUCACUGGUCGAGUCGGCCUGCGCGGAAGAUGUAACGGGGCUAAACCAUGCACCGAAGCUGCGGCAGCGACACUGUGUGUUGUUGGGUAGGGGAGCGUUCUGUAAGCCUGUGAAGGUGUGUCGUGAGGCAUGCUGGAGGUAUCAGAAGUGCGAAUGCUGACAUAAGUAACGAUAAAGCGGGUGAAAAGCCCGCUCGCCGGAAGACCAAGGGUUCCUGUCCAACGUUAAUCGGGGCAGGGUGAGUCGACCCCUAAGGCGAGGCCGAAAGGCGUAGUCGAUGGGAAACGGGUUAAUAUUCCCGUACUUGGUGUUACUGCGAAGGGGGGACGGAGAAGGCUAUGUUGGCCGGGCGACGGUUGUCCCGGUUUAAGCGUGUAGGUGUGUGUUCCAGGUAAAUCCGGUUCACUUUAACACUGAGGCGUGACGACGAGGCACUACGGUGCUGAAGCAACAAAUGCCCUGCUUCCAGGAAAAGCCUCUAAGCAUCAGGUAACAUCAAAUCGUACCCCAAACCGACACAGGUGGUCAGGUAGAGAAUACCAAGGCGCUUGAGAGAACUCGGGUGAAGGAACUAGGCAAAAUGGUGCCGUAACUUCGGGAGAAGGCACGCUGACACGUAGGUGAAGUGAUUUACUCAUGGAGCUGAAGUCAGUCGAAGAUACCAGCUGGCUGCAACUGUUUAUUAAAAACACAGCACUGUGCAAACACGAAAGUGGACGUAUACGGUGUGACGCCUGCCCGGUGCCGGAAGGUUAAUUGAUGGGGUCAGCGCAAGCGAAGCUCCUGAUCGAAGCCCCGGUAAACGGCGGCCGUAACUAUAACGGUCCUAAGGUAGCGAAAUUCCUUGUCGGGUAAGUUCCGACCUGCACGAAUGGCGUAAUGAUGGCCAGGCUGUCUCCACCCGAGACUCAGUGAAAUUGAACUCGCUGUGAAGAUGCAGUGUACCCGCGGCAAGACGGAAAGACCCCGUGAACCUUUACUAUAGCUUGACACUGAACAUUGAGCCUUGAUGUGUAGGAUAGGUGGGAGGCUUUGAAGUGUGGACGCCAGUCUGCAUGGAGCCGACCUUGAAAUACCACCCUUUAAUGUUUGAUGUUCUAACGUGGACCCGUUACCCGGGUUGCGGACAGUGUCUGGUGGGUAGUUUGACUGGGGCGGUCUCCUCCUAAAGAGUAACGGAGGAGCACGAAGGUUGGCUAAUCCUGGUCGGACAUCAGGAGGUUAGUGCAAUGGCAUAAGCCAGCUUGACUGCGAGCGUGACGGCGCGAGCAGGUGCGAAAGCAGGUCAUAGUGAUCCGGUGGUUCUGAAUGGAAGGGCCAUCGCUCAACGGAUAAAAGGUACUCCGGGGAUAACAGGCUGAUACCGCCCAAGAGUUCAUAUCGACGGCGGUGUUUGGCACCUCGAUGUCGGCUCAUCACAUCCUGGGGCUGAAGUAGGUCCCAAGGGUAUGGCUGUUCGCCAUUUAAAGUGGUACGCGAGCUGGGUUUAGAACGUCGUGAGACAGUUCGGUCCCUAUCUGCCGUGGGCGCUGGAGAACUGAGGGGGGCUGCUCCUAGUACGAGAGGACCGGAGUGGACGCAUCACUGGUGUUCGGGUUGUCAUGCCAAUGGCACUGCCCGGUAGCUAAAUGCGGAAGAGAUAAGUGCUGAAAGCAUCUAAGCACGAAACUUGCCCCGAGAUGAGUUCU
rnacentral:rRNA from 1 species